UACGUAGGGUGCGAGCGUUGCCCGGAAUUACUGGGCGUAAAGCGUGCACAGGCGGCUUUGCAAGACAGAUGUGAAAUCCCCGGGCUUAACCUGGGAACUGCAUUUGUGACUGCAUGGCUGGAGUGCGGCAGAGGGGGAUGGAAUUCCGCGUGUAGCAGUGAAAUGCGUAGAUAUGCGGAGGAACACCGAUGGCGAAGGCAAUCCCCUGGGCCUGCACUGACGCUCAUGCACGAAAGCGUGGGGAGCAAACAGG
rnacentral:rRNA from 1 species